UACGAAGGUGGCAAGCGUUGUUCGGAUUUACUGGGCGUAAAGGGAGCGUAGGUGGUUAGGUAAGCCCUCCGGGAAAUCUUCAGGCUUAACCUGAAAAGGUCGGGGGGGACUGCCUGGCUAGAGUCCGGAAGAGGCGAGUGGAACUCCUGGUGUAGCGGUGGAAUGCGCAGAUAUCAGGAAGAACACCAACGGCGAAGGCAGCUCGCUGGGACGGUACUGACGCUGAGACGCGAAAGCGUGGGGAGCGAACAGG
rnacentral:rRNA from 1 species